GCUGGGGACCCCCUGACAUGACCUCUUUUUCAGGUCUUCUCUAAGCUGCUGUACCCCAUCGUGCGGGGAGCUGCCCUAUCUGUCCUUAAGUACAUGCUCCUGACUUUCCAGCACUCCCAUGAGGCCUUCCACCUGCUUCUCCCUCACAUUCCCGCCAUGGUGGCCUCUCUGGUCAAGGAGGACUCGAACUCUGGGACCAGCUGCCUGGAGCAGCUGGCAGAGCUGGUGCACUGCAUGGUGUUUCGGUUCCCGGGCUUCCCAGACCUGUAUGAGC
rnacentral:lncRNA from 1 species